rnacentral:rRNA from 1 species
UACGAAGGGGGCUAGCGUUGUUCGGAUUUACUGGGCGUAAAGCGCACGUAGGCGGAUCGAUCAGUCAGGGGUGAAAUCCCAGGGCUCAACCCUGGAACUGCCUUUGAUACUGUCGAUCUGGAGUAUGGAAGAGGUGAGUGGAAUUCCGAGUGUAGAGGUGAAAUUCGUAGAUAUUCGGAGGAACACCAGUGGCGAAGGCGGCUCACUGGUCCAUUACUGACGCUGAGGUGCGAAAGCGUGGGGAGCAACAGG